rnacentral:rRNA from 1 species
GAUGAACGCUGGCGGCGUGCCUAACACAUGCAAGUCGAGCGAUUUACUUCGGUAAAGAGCGGCGGACGGGUGAGUAACGCGUGGGUAACCUGCCUCAUACACAUGGAUAACAUACCGAAAGGUAUGCUAAUACAAGAUGAUAUAAGAGAUUCGCAUGGAUUUCUUAUCAAAGCUCCGGCGGUAUGAGAUGGACCCGCGUCUGAUUAGCUAGUUGGUAAGGUAACGGCUUACCAAGGCGACGAUCAGUAGCCGACCUGAGAGGGUGAUCGGCCACAUUGGAACUGAGACACGGUCCAAACUCCUACGGGAGGCAGCAGUGGGGAAUAUUGCACAAUGGGCGAAAGCCUGAUGCAGCAACGCCGCGUGAGCGAUGAAGGCCUUCGGGUCGUAAAGCUCUGUCCUCAAGGAAGAUAAUGACGGUACUUGAGGAGGAAGCCCCGGCUAACUACGUGCCAGCAGCCGCGGUAAUACGUAGGGGGCUAGCGUUAUCCGGAUUUACUGGGCGUAAAGGGUGCGUAGGUGGUUUCUUAAGUCAGGAGUGAAAGGCUACGGCUCAACCGUAGUAAGCUCUUGAAACUGGGAAACUUGAGUGCAGGAGAGGAAAGUGGAAUUCCUAGUGUAGCGGUGAAAUGCGUAGAUAUUAGGA